rnacentral:rRNA from 1 species
GGCGUGCCAGGUUGCAUAAAGAAAUUGUAGUACUUGCAGAAAAUCGUCAGGUUUCUGGAGUUUUUUGGAUUGAACUUAAGAGUUUGAUCCUGGCUCAGAUUGAACGCUGGCGGCAUGCUUUACACAUGCAAGUCGAACGGUAACAGGGAGCUUGCUCCGCUGACGAGUGGCGAACGGGUGAGUAAUGCAUCGGAACGUACCCAGUCGUGGGGGAUAACGUAGCGAAAGUUACGCUAAUACCGCAUACGUCCUGAGGGAGAAAGCGGGGGACCGUAAGGCCUCGCGCGAUUGGAGCGGCCGAUGUCGGAUUAGCUAGUUGGUGGGGUAAAGGCCUACCAAGGCGACGAUCCGUAGCGGGUCUGAGAGGAUGAUCCGCCACACUGGGACUGAGACACGGCCCAGACUCCUACGGGAGGCAGCAGUGGGGAAUUUUGGACAAUGGGGGCAACCCUGAUCCAGCCAUGCCGCGUGAGUGAAGAAGG